UCUUUGUGUCUCUUUCCUCCCACUCUCUCA
rnacentral:piRNA from 1 species